UCUGUAAGCCAUCGAAGAUAUAUUGUAAAGUAUAUUGGAGGUAUCAGAAGUGCGAAUGCUGACAUGAGUAACGAUAAAGCAGGUGAAAAACCUGCUCGCCGAAAAACCAAGGUUUCCUGUCCAACGUUAAUCGGGGCAGGGUAAGCCGACCCCUAAGGCGAGGCUGUAAAGCGUAGUCGAUGGAUAACAGGUUAAUAUUCCUGUGCUUAGUUUUAUUGCGAGGGGGGACGAAGAAGGUUAGGUUAUCCAGGUGACGGUUAUCCUGGUUUAAGUGUGUAGGUAUGAUAAUUAGGAAAAUCCGGUUAUCUUUAAUCUGAGGCACGAUGACGAGUCAUCAAGGUGACGAAGUAACUAACACCACGCUUCCAAGAAAAGCCUCUAAGCUUCAGAUAAAGCUAAAUCGUACCCAAAACCGACACAGGUGGUUAGGUAGAGAAUACUAAGGCGCUUGAGAGAACCCAGGUGAAGGAACUAGGCAAAAUAGUGCCGUAACUUCGGGAGAAGGCACGCUAAUUUAAGUGAAAGGAUUUUCUCCUUUAGCUAAAGUUAGUCGAAGAUACCAGCUGGCUGCAACUGUUUAUUAAAAACACAGCACUGUGCAAACACGAAAGUGGAAGUAUACGGUGUGACGCCUGCCCGGUGCCGGAAGGUUAAUCGAAGGAGUUAAAGGAAACUUGAAGCUCUGAACUGAAGCCCCGGUAAACGGCGGCCGUAACUAUAACGGUCCUAAGGUAGCGAAAUUCCUUGUCGGGUAAGUUCCGACCUGCACGAAUGGCGUAAUGAUGGCCAGGCUGUCUCCACCUGGGACUCAGUGAAAUUGAAAUUGCUGUGAAGAUGCAGUAUACCCGCGGCAAGACGGAAAGACCCCGUGAACCUUUACUAUAGCUUGACACUGAAUUCUGAAUUUUAAUGUGUAGGAUAGGUGGGAGGCUAAGAAGUUAAAACGCUAGUUUUAAUGGAGCCAAUCUUGAAAUACCACCCUUUAAAAUUUGGUAUUCUAACCUAGCGCCGUUACCCGGUGUAGAGACAGUGUCUGGUAGGUAGUUUGACUGGGGCGGUCUCCUCCCAAAGAGUAACGGAGGAGUACGAAGAUUGGCUAAUCACGGUCAGACAUCGUGAGUUUAGUGCAAAGGCAUAAGCCAGUUUGACUGUGAGCAUGAUAAUGCGAGCAGGUGCGAAAGCAGGUCUUAGUGAUCCGGUGGUUCUGCAUGGAAGGGCCAUCGCUCAACAGAUAAAAGGUACUCCGGGGAUAACAGGCUGAUACCGCCCAAGAGUUCAUAUCGACGGCGGUGUUUGGCACCUCGAUGUCGGCUCAUCACAUCCUGGGGCUGAAGCAGGUCCCAAGGGUAUGGCUGUUCGCCAUUUAAAGUGGUACGCGAGCUGGGUUUAGAACGUCGUGAGACAGUUCGGUCCCUAUCUGCCGUGGGCGUUGGAAGAUUGAGAGGGGCUGCUUCUAGUACGAGAGGACCGAAGUGGACGCAUCACUGGUGUUCGGGUUGUCAUGCCAAUGGCAUUGCCCGGUAGCUACAUGCGGAAAAGAUAAGUGCUGAACGCAUAUAAGCACGAAACUUGCCUCAAGAUUAAUCUUCCCUGAAACACAAAAAUGUUUACUGAAGGGACGUUGA
rnacentral:rRNA from 1 species